GGCUCGUUGGUCUAGGGGUAUGAUUCUCGCUUUGGGUGCGAGAGGUCCCGGGUUCGAAUCACGGGCGAGCCC
rnacentral:tRNA from 1 species